rnacentral:lncRNA from 1 species
UGGACCACUGGGCUGGGACCCACGACCCCACCACCACGCCUGGAGGACGCGCAGCGGCGCCUCGGCCUUGGAAGGGGAGUUUCCCAGCGCGAGCCCCGCCCUUCCCCGCCCGGGAGGCGCCUCGGGGCGGGGUCACUGGCCGGGAGGCCCCGCCUUCCGCCCGAAAGCGCCGGUGCACCCCGCAGGCCCUGCCCGUGGGUCCACAGGCCGGAUCCCCGGGUUCCUAGGCUGGGACUGCUUCUCAGAACCACUCUGUCGUUUUUAAGCAGGGUCACACACUCUAGCUCACUGGGUCCAUUUUAAUUUCUAUUAAACAUUUUUUUUUUUUUGCAAAUGAUGUAGUAGGAGAUCCAAGGUGUUUGGUUAAUGAUUUAUUCACUCAUUAGUCAUUCCACAAACUUGUCUUGAGCACCUGUUAUGUACCCAGCACUGUGCUGGAAUGCUGAGGAGACAGGAGUGAAGUAAAAAGACAUGGUUCCGGCAGGAAACAGGCAAGGAGAGCCUUGACUUGACGGAGUCUGGCUAUAUCGCCAGGCUGGAAUGCAAUGGCGCGAUCUCUCCUCACUGCAACCUCCGCCUCCCGGGUUCAAGCGAUUCUCCUGCCUCAGCACCUCGAGUAGCUGGGACUACAGGCGCGCGCCACCACGCCCAGGUAAUUUUUUGUAUUUUUAGGAGAGAUGGGGUUUCACCAUGUUGGCGAGGGUGGUCUCAUUUCUUGACCUCGUGAUGCGCCCACCUCGGUCUCCCAAAGUGCUGGGAUUACAGGCAUGAGCCACUGUGCCCGGCCAGUAUGAUCAGUUUUUGCGCAGAGAGCUGGAGGGAUAGAGUAUCAGAAUGAGGGAUGAUAGAAACGCAGGUUACCAGUGGCACGGAGAGUGGGCAUGGAGAGAAGUGGGGGCCCUGGGGAAUACUUAGAAGGCGGGAUGAACAGAGCUUGGUGACUGACCAAGUGAAUGACGGUGAAAGAGGAUUCCAAGUUUUUUGUUCCCAAAACUGAGUGAAUGGUGCUGCCUCAGGUGUCACGAGUCUGACCUCGAGGCAGUCUUCAGAUGUCUGACAGUCUUUGCUUGUCUGUUCAUGAUUAAAAGUGGGUGGUCUUGGGCUUGUGGUGGUGAUGGCUGUAAACAGCAUAAUGAGCUUAGUCCUGAUGAUCUUGGUGGCAGAUGGUUUUGAUAAGAUGAUGAGUUUGGGGAAAGUAUUGCCUUUCCAAUCCUGCCAUUAGAAGAAUGUAGGCUGAAGAAAGUGCUGUAUUACUGAGAGGAGACAUGACAGUAUUCAUCACUUCAAACACUAUCUUGCCAAUCUUCUCAGUGGUUUUGACCCUGGCCUCAAACCCCCACACAAAACCUCAGAUCAAUACAAAUCUCUUCCUUAUCCACUCCUACUAUACAUAGUUGAGGACAACUUUUCUGCUUGCACUCAGGAGAUGACACUGCCUCCUACUUCAGAAAAGAAAAUUAAAACUAUUAGCUAGAAUUUGCACAACCUCCCACUGCUUCCUCCUUCCCUCCUCCAACAUCUUGAUUCACUACCAUUCUUACCUUCUUUUAGGUGACAAAGAGUAAGAGGAGGAACCCCAUGUAUAUCUCCUCUUCUGGGACCUUGCACCAUCAAUUACUUCACUUCCAUGUAUCUUUGCCUCUCCAUUUCUACUGGUUCUUUACUUUCAACACAUACUCAAGUUAUUCCCAUUUUCUCUUCAAAGGAGAGGAUCAUAUUUGCUCUCUGUAAUUCCACUUCCCCCUCUCUCCCUUGAAUUCACUCCAUUCAGUCCUUCAUGCCCACCAUGCCACGAAACUGCCACUUGUCAAGGUCACCUGUGAGCUCCAUGCUGCCAGUUUCAAUGGCCAAAGCUUCACUCUUGCAACUUCUGUUGUUCUUGACUACUUCCUCUCUUGACAUGUCUCAUUCACUUUGUUGCAUAUCAUCACUUUCUUCUGGUUUGUCUUUUAUCCCUGUGACUUCACUGUUCCUUAAACAUGACAAGCAUGCUCUUGCCUCAGGGCUUCUUCACUAGCUAUUCCCUCUGUCUGGAAUGCAGAAAUCUACAUGACUCAUACUCUCCCUUUACUCAAGACUGCUCACUUGUCACUGACUACCUAUAAAUUAGCUCCUUUGUUGUUGUCUUUAUGACACCACAACUUCACAUACGUCGCCAUCUCUUUACUUUCCUAUAGUUAUCUUCUAGACUGUGUCUUCUCCUUAUCUCCAGUUUUCAUUCUGUAUUUUUUUUCUUUUUAGUAAGAGGAAAUAACUCUACAUUCAAAUUUGAGCAGGGCACUUGGUGACCUACUUAGACAUGACAUUCCUUGGCCUCCCUUUCAGCAAGAUGAGAAAACUGAGGCACAGAGAGGUGAAAUAAGGCCCCCAGAAUGCUCUUCUCCAAGACUUAGAAAAAUCAAAUGCUAUCCAUCCCUCAAGAUACAUCCCUCCAGCCCCUCCUUGAAGUCUCCUGCAGCUAGAAGUAGAAGUAGCAUCUAUCCCCAUCUGGACUCCUUAGCACUUUGCUGUACCUGCCUUAGUCCCCAUCUCUUUACACACACACACACACACACACACACACACACAGAGUAUUAUAAUACUAUUACCUAUUAUAUUACAUUAUAUUAUUGUAGUUCUACAGGAACUACAAGGAAUUCUACUGUGAAUUCCUUAAGGGUGGGAUACAUUUUACAAUCAUCACUGUUUCUCUCAUUAGUUGUGGAAUCAAAAAAAUGAGUGCACGAUGAAAAAUUAUUCAAACACAUACAUGCUUUCAUUCCAAUUGAAAAUGUAAAAAUAUUACUGUUAAAACAAUAUUAAAGGACAUGUAAUACAAUUCAAAUAUUCCUACCAUGCACGAUUGUUUUCACUUCUUUGUGCCUCUUUCACCAUUUAUUUGUGUGCAUACUCAGCAUAUUUGUUUGUGUAACAGGAUGUUAAAAAUAGAAUUUGUUGCCUGUAGUUUUUGCUAAAGCUCUACUAGACUGGAACAGAACAAUAGGUGGUAAAUACUCCAUUCCUCAGUGAGAUGCUACCUACCUAUGCAGAGCUGGAAAAGAUUUUGCAACCUGAAAACCCAAUCCUUUCUGAGAUAUAAAAGAACAGAAGAGUCUGGAAGUGAUUUCUUCGGAGAAAUUCAUUUUCUUAUUCCAGAGAAGAAACUUCAAGCUCAGAAUAUUGGCUACUACCUGUGAUAAACAUUUAAAUUAUUGGAACGAGAGAGUUUUUAUAACUAAAUUUGAAAGAAGCAAUUUUUUUUAUCAAAGACCAACCCGAAGAUUCAUGACCACUACCUGUGAUUUCAUCCAUGUUGCAAGGAAAAUCCUGCCCCACUUCCCCAAUAGGAAGAGUGGUGGGGGAAUAAUAAAGUUGUUUUAUGAUGCAUCCUGUGGACUUCUACUCGACAGAAUGGUAACAUUCAACUGUAAUCAGGAUGAGCAAGCCACUUUAUUAAACUAAAAUUUUAAACUUUAAUAAAUAUAAUACAAACUGAAAAAUAAAAAUAAUUUUUCAACUCUACACAAGUAUGUUAACUGCAUAAACAGUGAGAUGUUACACAGGGCUGAGGCCUAUACUUCUUCAGUUUGUACAUUAAACGUCUCCAUGGAGGGUCAAUUGCAUCCUACCUAUUCUGACAGUUAUCAGGUAGCGAGAGAUUUGAGGAAGAGGCGCUUUUCUAAUCUGGGGUAGGAAAAGGAAUGAUACCAUGUAUCAUGAGAAGUAUUUGCACAUAGUGUGUCAAUUAAGCAAGUGCUCAGACUAUUAACAACAUUACUAUGUGAUGAAUGUUUAUACAGUGGAUUCAAAAAUAAGCUUCUUUCCAGAAAGCAGCUUAGUUUUCAUUAAUUAUUACCAGCAUCUUGGUAAUUAUUUAUUUAAUGGUUUAAAAGUUAAAGUUUCAAUCUAUAUUUGUUUUUUUAACAUCAGCCAAGGAAAUACAUGUCUGUUAUACUGCAUCUUUGGAAGUAUGCAAUAAGUGUAACUAUUGAAUCUAUAUUGAAGAGCCACAAGACACUGAAUUUAAUUGGACGAGACUAUUUUAUUUAGGAAGACAAUCAUCUCCUGUGAUCAGCUUAAGGUUUUUGUUUUGUUUUAUCUGGAACAAGCUAAGUUCAUAUUUAGAAAAUAAAGUUAGUUUUUUGGGUGCAUGAGUUUUAGAGUAAAUUAGUAAUUUAGUAAACUUUGACAUUUCCACUUUGUCUCCAAACACAUUUAAAUUCUAUCUGUCUGACUGAAGUUCUAAGGCAUUCUGUGGUUACUUAGAAAUGAUUCCUUAUAUUAAUGUUUACAAAUGCUAAAUUGUAUUUGUUAAAUACAUGUCUUAUUGCCUAAGAGUUUUCCUUUCUUAUAAGUUUAAUAUAAAUGUCUAGGAAAUAAGACUCCCAUUUAAUAGCUUAUAAAGAAUGCUGAUGUAUCAGCAGUGGCCUUGACAUUAUUGGAUACAAGUAAGAUCUACACUGAUGAUUAAAUCAAAUUGGCUAAGAUUAUUCGUUCUAAUAAAAGCACUGACUCCAUGAAGUUUUCUUGUGGCUGAAAUUAACAUUCGUGUUCCUACAAGCUCUUUAAAAUCUUAGUUACUGAAAAUUAUUCCUUUUGACCUAAUUUUUUCUUUACUUUGGAUGUAUUUGACAAGGUAGAGGUUAGGGAUUGGAGAGUAUGUAAAGAAUGAAAUAAAAUGUAGUCACUUUUAACUAUAUCCACAUA